AACGAACGCUGGCGGCAGGCCUAACACAUGCAAGUCGAACGCUCGUAGCAAUACGAGAGUGGCAGACGGGUGAGUAACACGUGGGAACCUUCCCUAUGGUUCGGAAUAGCUCAGGGAAACUUGAGGUAAUACCGGAUAAGCCCUUACGGGGAAAGAUUUAUCGCCAUUGGAUGGCCCGCGUCGGAUUAGCUAGUUGGUGAGGUAACGCUCACCGAAGGCGACGAUCCGUAGCUGGCUGAGAGGAUGAUCAGCCACACUGGGACUGAGAC
rnacentral:rRNA from 1 species